CAUCGAUGAAGAACGUAGCAAACUGCGAUACUUGGUGUGAAUUGCAGAAUCCCGUGAACCAUCGAGUCUUUGAACGCAAGUUGCGCCCGAAGCCUUCGGGUCGAGGGCACGUUUGCCUGGGUGUCA
rnacentral:rRNA from 1 species